rnacentral:siRNA from 1 species
AGGUGGGUAUACUGCCAAUAGA